rnacentral:rRNA from 1 species
CUGAUGUAGGCGGCGGACGGGUGAGUAAACGUGGGUAACCUGCCUGUAUACUGGAAUAACUCCGGGAAACCGGGGCUAAAACCGGAGGGUUGUUUGAACCGCAUGGUUCAAACAUAAUUGGUGGCUUCGGCUACCACUUACAGAUGGACCCGCGGCGCAAUAGCUAGUUGGUGAGGUGGGGGCUCACCAAGGCAACGAUCCGUAGCCGACCUGAGAGGGUGAUCGGCCACACUGGGACUGAGACACGGCCCAGACUCCUACGGGAGGCAGCAAUAGGGAAUCUUCCGCAAUGGACGAAAGUCUGACGGAGCAACGCCCCGCGAGUGAUGAAGGUUUUCGGAUCGUAAAGCUCUGUUGUUAGGGAAGAACAAGUACCGUUCGAAUAGGGCGGUACCUUGACGGUACCUAACCAGAAAGCCACGGCUAACUACUUGCCAGCAGCCGCGGUAAUACUUAGGUGGCAAGCGUUGUCCGGAAUUAUUGGGCGUAAAGGGCUCGCAGGCGGUUUCUUAAUUCUGAUGUGAAAGCCCCCGGCUCCCCCGGGGAGGGUCAUUGGAAACUGGGGAACUUGAGUGCAGAAGAGGAGAGUGGAAUUCCACGUGUAGCGGUGAAAUGCGUAGAGAUGUGGAGGAACACCAGUGGCGAAGGCGACUCUCUGGUCUGUAUCUGACUCUCAGGAGCGAAAGCGUGUGGAGCGAACAGAGAUUAUAUACCCCUGGUAGUCCACGCCCUACACGAUGAGUGCUGAGUGUUAGGGGGGUUUUCCGCCCCUUAGUGCUGCAGCUAACACAUUAAACACUCCGCCUGGGAGAGUACGGUCGCAAGACAGAAACUCAAAGGAAUUGAGGGGGGCCCGCACAAGCGGUGGAGCAUGUGGUUUAAUUCGAAGCAACGCGAAGAACCUCACCAGGUCUUGACAUCCUCUGACAAUCCGAGAGAUAGGACGUCCCCUUCGGGGGGAGAGUGACAGGUGGUGCAUGGUCGUCGUCAGCUCGUGUCUUCAGAUGUUGGGUUAAGUCCCGCAACGAGCGCAACCCUUAAUUUUAGUUGCCAGCAUUUAGUUGGGCACUCUUAGGUGACGGCCGGCGCCAAACCGCCGUCAGGCCGGACUGAUGCAAAUCGAUUACGCUCGUAGUUUCAGGGCAACCCACGUGGAACAAGGCACAGAACAUCGGGGAACGAGGCCGGGCGUUUAAUCCAUUCCCACGACUCCCCUCUCACCCGGACAGCCGUUAUCAAAUUGAUGGCGUG